rnacentral:rRNA from 1 species
CAGUAGCCACGGGAAUACAGAGGAUGCAAGCGUUAUUCGGAAUGAUUGGGCGUAAAGGGCUCGCAGGCGGUUUCUUAAGUCUGAUGUGAAAGCCCCCGGCUCAACCGGGGAGGGUCAUUGGAAACUGGGAAACUUGAGUGCAGAAGAGGAGAGUGGAAUUCCACGUGUAGCGGUGAAAUGCGUAGAGAUGUGGAGGAACACCAGUGGCGAAGGCGACUCUCUGGUCUGUAACUGACGCUGAGGAGCGAAAGCGUGGGGAGCGAACAGGAUUAGAUACCCGUGUAGUCCCUGUCUCUUAUAC